GCUUACGGCCAUACCACUCUGAAAAGCCUGAUCUCAUCUGACCUCGGAAGCAAAGCAGAGCUGGGCCUGUUUAGUACUUGGUUGGGGAGACUGAAUGGGAUACUAGGUGCUGUAAGCU
ensembl:rRNA 5S_rRNA 5S ribosomal RNA